GGGGCGUUAGCUCAGUUGGUAGAGCAGCGGACUUUUAAUCCGUUGGUCACUGGUUCGAAUCCAGUACGCCCUACCA
rnacentral:tRNA from 2 species